rnacentral:lncRNA from 1 species
UCCGAUCUCUAUGGAUAUCCACACGAGACUUCGAUCUGAUCAGAAGCUUAUUAAUCUCAUCGAGGUGCUAGUUCUCUUGCAGAGAUCAUAUCUUGAUAGUUGAAAUUUUUUUUUCUCUUAAGACACUCUUAGAGAAGAAGAAAAAAUAGGAGGAUAUUGAUCUCUACGCUAGAGAUCAUGAGAAAAAUUUUUUCUUCUCAUUUCUUCCUAAAACCCA